GACGAACGCUGGCGGCGUGCUUAACACAUGCAAGUCGAACGGAAAGGCCCUGCUUUUGUGGGGUGCUCGAGUGGCGAACGGGUGAGUAACACGUGAGUAACCUGCCCUUGACUUUGGGAUAACUUCAGGAAACUGGGGCUAAUACCGGAUAGGAGCUCCUGCUGCAUGGUGGGGGUUGGAAAGUUUCGGCGGUUGGGGAUGGACUCGCGGCUUAUCCGCUUGUUGGUGGGGUAGUGGCUUACCAAGGCUUUGACGGGUAGCCGGCCUGAGAGGGUGACCGGCCACAUUGGGACUGAGAUACGGCCCAGACUCCUACGGGAGGCAGCAGUGGGGAGUAUUGCACAAUGGGCGGAAGCCUGAUGCAGCAACGCCGCGUGCGGGAUGACGGCCUUCGGGUUGUAAACCGCUUUCGCCUGUGACGAAGCGUGAGUGACGGUAAUGGGUAAAGAAGCACCGGCUAACUACGUG
rnacentral:rRNA from 1 species